ensembl:lncRNA novel transcript, antisense to SDK2
GUAGAGCAACAGGCACCCUCGCAGACAGCUUUGCGGGACUGUAGCUUGGUACGCCCUCUACGAGAGCAAUUUGGCAAUGCUAUCAAAGCUAAAAAUGCACACAUCCUCCAAUUCGCCAACUCUUCAAGGAAUUCACCCUCCACAGACUCACUUGUGCAUGUGUGAAAUGACAGUACUUCAGAGCCGCUCAGCUUAUAACAGCAAAAGCUUGGAAAUGGCCUGAAUGCCUAUCAAGAGGGCACUGCUUAAAGAAACGAUUGUCCCUCCAAACAACAGAAUUCUGUGCAGCAGACGGCGCCUGAGCGAUCUUUGAGAACUACUGAUGCCUGGCCCAGCUCUGGCCCCGGUGCUGCCUGCAUGCCAAGCGCUUCAUUAGCCGGGAAAGAAGACUCUUGCCCUCCUUCGUCUAAUCCUCGCCAGUGACCUUCAGGAACCAGGCACCUUCUGACGUUGGGAGCCUGGGAUGGUGCAAUCAUCAAUUACGCCGUGGCCUCCGCAGCUGUUCCUGAAUGGAUUUCUUGCUCAGAGAAGCGUGUUUGAAAAGCAUCUAAUGGAACGGAUCAUCAAUUUGUUUGAAUACACAUCUAAUCUGAUUAGGGGGGCACUGGCCACCAGGGCAGCUAGUGCAACUGAGCCUUGACAUGGCCCCAGGGAAUCAUAAGUGGGGUGGCGGGGCCAGUCUAGGGAAGGAGGGCUGUGUGCCCUGGGCCUGCCACCGAGCCCUCCUUGAGCUCAGCCCAUGGUACGUCCAGCCAAAAAAGUCACAGAGAAAAGCAGAACACAUCACACAGAUGCCAGGAGAGCUGGGCCCAAGACUCCUGUUUUUCUAUAGCCCUGGCACUGGGCACAGAGCCUGAGACAAAGAAGAUGCUUGGGAAAUAUGUGGCAAAUGAAUGACAGUAAGGCCCAACAUGGAAGCCAAGGGAUGUUUAAUAAAGUCAUCUGUGGGACAAGACUAGGUGAUGCCUGUAUUGGGUUGAAUAUGUCUCCCCCAAAUUCAUGUCCUUCCCAAAACCUCAGAAUGUGACCUGAUUUGGAAAUCGAGUCUUUGGAGAUGUAGUUUGUUAAGAUGAGGUCACGCUGGAGUAGGAUGGGCCUUCCGUGACUGGUGUCUUGGUAGGAGGAGAAGAAACACAGGGAAAGAGACACACAAGGAGAAGACAAGAGCCAAGUAAAGACAGAGGCAGGGACUGAAGCGACGCAUCUACCAGCCAGGGAAUGCCAAGGACUGCUGGGAGCCACCAGGCAGGCCUAGGACGGGGGCAGGACGGAGUCUCCCGUUGAGCCUGCAGAAGGAGCAUGCCCCUGUCACCCUGAUUUCAGACUUCUGGCCUCCAGAACUGUGAGAGAACAGAUUUCUGCUGUUUAAAGCCACCCAGCUUAUAGUGCUUUGUCAUGGCAGCCCAGGAAACUCAUGCAAUGCCUACAGGAAGCUUUGUCCGUCAUUCCACAGAAGGCAGCAUGGCAGAGAACCAGAAGGAAGUCCGAGCCCUGCCUCGCUGGAUGUAGCUGGUCCUUCCCAGACACAUCACGUGCGCCAUGCCACUCUCUUCCCUGGGGAGCCCUUUCUUACCUUCUUUACCAGGAAAAUGUUGGUUUUCAAUCCAUGUUAGUUCCUGUCCAGCACCCCUUCAAAGCUCAAAUGCCAUGCCCUCUGUAACUCUUCUCCAGAUGUCCUCCUCAGACUCCUGAGAUCGCCUCCCUCCCAGCAUGCUUGGUGAUUCCCAUGCUACAUCCCCCACUGCUGGGCACACUGGGGCUCCCUCAUCUUCCUAGCCCCAGAGCCUGGCAACAGCCUGGCCUGCAGAAGAGCCCAGAUCCAUGAGAAAGUGGGCAAGCAAACUUGCUGUGGACCAGCGGGUCCCUCCCUUCUUGGGAGUGGACCAGAAUGGAGAUCACAAAGUUCCCUUCCAGCCCUGACAUUAUAAGAGCCGAGUAGCCCUCUGGGGGAUGACCUUACUGGGCCCUGUAAUGGGACCACCUGGGUUCAAACCCAGUGGACUCUGCCACUCACAGGCUGUGUUUCCCUGGGCAUCAUUCUGUAACUCUGCUGCACCUCUCCUGAAAAAUAGGGAUAGCAGUGCCUACCUCGUUGGCCUAUGGAAAGGGGUAAGUGCUUCAACCAGUGCCUGGCACAGAGAAAGAGCCCUUGGAAAGAAGGCUGUUAUUAUUCCUCAUCUUGGCUUGGUGCAGCCUCUGCAAGCCCUUCUCAUAGCCGGGGCCUCCUGUUUGAACCACACAGGUAAACAGGGCCAAAGCACCUCCAACCUUGCAUGGAAAAAAGACGGUUCUCAUUUCCAAUAGGUUUAUUUUGCAGUUAACAGAGGGGAAGGGAGCUCUUUCUUACAUUUCCCUUGGAGGGUUCAGAGAUUAAACUUAUACCAUCGAUUAGAAUGUUUUGGCCUAACGGUGCUAGUAUCAUUUUAGUGUAUUCAGAUUCAUUUGAGCUAUAAAAGUGGCGAUAAUAAAAUGUUCACUAAGU